AAACAAUUAACUUUUAGAACACCAAUUUGGAUCAUUGACUUCAAAUGGAUAAUGAGCUUAAACUAUUCUUGUUUUCGAUUCUUAAACCAAAAGUAUAUUAACAAGAAAGCAAAUACCAUCUACAACUGACGAUUUAAUAACCAUUAUAAACAAUAGUCCAACCAAUCCAAGUUGUUUUUAAUAGAAUAUUUAAAGCUAACUUACACAAAUCUAUAAACUUAUUCAUACUGCAGAAAUUUAUAUCCAGUCCAAUUUGUAAUUGAGGAUAGCUCUUCUCAAGUAAUUCUUUAUCUACUACAAAUUAGAAUCAGCAAACAAUUAUGAACAACUAGGCAACAACAUGCUCAAAUCUCCAUUCCAUUCCAAUUGCAAAGUGUGUACAAAGGAGUGUACCUGGUGUCGAAAAUACAAUAACAGGAAGGAGUGAGUAGUGGCAGUGGUGAAAACAAAGUAACAGCAACAAACAACAACCCAGAAAUAGAUUGGAAUCAGCAGAAAUCAGAAACAAUCCAGUUGCAACUUCAGAUAACCAAAACAACAACAACCCAAAUGCACCAGGAACCAGCAACAACCAGUGUUUAACAAUACCAAAUAACCCGUGUAGUUCUGAGUGUUAAUAGAACUCUAACAGAAAUAGUGAAAAAUUCAAAGAUACCAAUGAAACAGUACACUACAGUCCUGAUGUUCAACCGUGUAACAGAAGAGACCUAGCUUUUAUCUCUCAAACUACUCUUUUAGCUCUGGAAAAUUAGCUCAACUUUCAGCCUAUAUCCCUCUCUCAAGUUCUGAAAAUCUAAUCUCCAAAAUCCAUUCCCUCUCAAAAUUCAGUAUGUCUCUAUUUAUAAGUUAGAAUUGGACAUUAUUUUAUUCAAAGCUU
rnacentral:lncRNA from 1 species